rnacentral:rRNA from 1 species
AGAGUUUGAUCAUGGCUCAGGAUGAACGCUGGCGGUAUGCCUAACACAUGCAAGUCGAACGAUGUCUUCGGACAUAGUGGCGGACGGGUGAGUAACGCGUGAGAAUCUGCCUCUAGGAUGGGGAUAACGGUUGGAAACGACCGCUAACACCCAAUAUGCCGUAAGGUGAAAAAUUUAUUGCCUGGAGAGGAGCUCGCGUCUGAUUAGCUAGUUGGUGGGGUAAGAGCUCACCAAGGCUUCGAUCAGUAGCUGGUCUGAGAGGAUGAGCAGCCACACUGGGACUGAGACACGGCCCAGACUCCUACGGGAGGCAGCAGUGGGGAAUUUUCCGCAAUGGGCGAAAGCCUGACGGAGCAAUACCGCGUGAGGGAGGAAUGCCUUUGGGUUGUAAACCUCUUUUCUCAGGGAAGAAGAUCUGACGGUACCUGAGGAAUAAGUAUCGGCUAACUCCGUGCCAGCAGCCGCGGUAAUACGGAGGAUGCAAGCGUUAUCCGGAAUCAUUGGGCGUAAAGCGUCCGCAGGUGGUUUCCAAAGUCUGCUGUUAAAGACUGGAGCUCAACUCCGGAACGGCGGUGGAAACUUGGAAACUAGAGUUCGGUAGGGGUAGCAGGAAUUCCCAGUGUAGCGGUGAAAUGCGUAGAUAUUGGGAAGAACAUCGGUGGCGAANGCGUGCUACUGGACCGUAACUGACACUCAGGGACGAAAGCUAGGGGAGCGAAAGGGAUUAGAUACCCCUGUAGUCCUAGCUGUAAACGAUGGAAACUAGGUGUGGCUUGUAUCGACCCGAGCCGUGCCGUAGCUAACGCGUUAAGUUUCCCGCCUGGGGAGU